rnacentral:rRNA from 1 species
AGCUCCAAUAGCGUAUAUUAAAGUUGCUGCGUUUAAAAAGCUCGUAGUUGGAUCUCAGUCUCGAUCGAGCGGUCUAUCUUCUGAUAGUACUGCGCGAAUCGGACAUUCCGCCGCGUUUCUUCACAUGCUCUUUAUUGAGUGUGUGGGGAGAGUGGUACGUUUACUUUGAAAAAAUUAGAGUGCUCAAAGCAGGCCACUGCCUGAAUAGUCGUGCAUGGAAUGAUGGAAUAGGACCUUGGUUCUAUUUUGUUGGUUUCCGGAACUCGAGGUAAUGAUUAAUAGGGACGGACGGGGGCAUUUGUAUUGCGACGUUAGAGGUGAAAUUCUUAGAUCGUCGCAAGACAAACUACUGCGAAAGCAUUUGCCAAGAAUGUUUUCAUUAAUCAAGAACGAAAGUACG